CUCCAGUGUUGCCAGAUCCGUUCUUGCAAUUAAUUUAAUCAACCUCUUCCCCACAACAGCAGCUCAAACAGAUCGAUCGGGCAAGAAUGUAGUGACUAGCAAAUAAAAGAUGACUUCAAUUUGUCUAAAAAAAUAGCAAAUAAAUGAUGCAUGACUACUACUGAUAUUUCUGCACAGUUACUUCCAAGUAAAAUGAAGAAGCUUGUCAGCAAGAGCUGGGAGGAGUCGAGGCUGCUAUGGCAGGUCGCCUUCCCAGCGAUCCUCACCGAGGUGUUCCAGUUCUCCAUCGGGUUCGUCACCACCGGUUUCGUCGGGCACCUCGGCGAAGUCGAGCUCGCCGCCGUCACCGUCGUGGAGAACAUCAUAGAGCUCUUCGCCUUCGGAGUCCUGUUCGGCAUCGGGAGCGCGCUGGACACGCUGUGCGGCCAGGCCGUCGGCGCCGGGCAGCUCGACAUGCUGGGCAUCUACACCCAGCAGUCGUGGCUCGUCUGCGGCGCCACGGCGGUGGCGCUGACGCCGGCGUACGCCUUCACCUCGCCGAUCCUGAGGUCCCUCCUCCGUCAGCCCGCCGACGUGUCGGCCGCCGCCGGGCCGUACGCCCGGUGGGCGAUCCCGCGGCUGUUCGCCCACGCGGCGAACUACCCGCUCCUCAAGUUCUUCCAGACCCAGAGCAGGGUCUGGGCCGUGGCCGCCAUCUCCGGAGCGUCGCUCGCCGCUCACGUCGCGCUCACCUACGCCGCCGUGAGGCGGCUGGGGUUCGGCCUCCGCGGCGCCGCCGUUGCCGGGAACAUCUCCCACUGGCUCAUCGUCGUCGCGCAGCUCGUUUACAUGGUGCGAGGCCGGUUUCCGGACUCGUGGAAGGGCUUCUCGAUUCGUGCGUUCAGGAACCUUGGCGCAUUCGUCAAGCUGUCGCUGGCGUCUGCUGUCAUGAUCUGCUUGGAGGUUUGGUAUUACAUGGCACUGCUCAUUCUUGUGGGUCUCCUGAAGAAUGCUAAACUCCAGCUUGACAUCAUGUCAGUUUGCAUCAACUACGAGUUCUGGACCAUGAUGAUGGCACUGGGUUUCAGCACAGCAAUCAGCGUGAGGGUGUCGAAUGAGCUGGGUGCAAACAGGCCCAAGGUGGCACAAUUCUCGGUUGUUGUUGCAGCAGCAACAUCGGCCUUCGUCGGAGCAACUUUCAUGGCCGUCUUCCUCGUUUGGAGGACUAGCUUGCCCAAGUUCUUCAGCGACAGCGAAGAGGUGAUUCACGGAGCCUCGAGAUUAGGAUAUCUUCUCGCUGUGAGCGUCCUUUUAAGCAACAUCUGGCCUCUACUAUCAGAUUCCAGAGGCCCAGGUCAGAUUGCCUCCCGCACCCCAAUAUCAUCACCGGCGGCAGCAAUGUUAGCGGCAGCAGGAAGUCGCCGGCCACACCGGCCUCAAGAUCGAGCAAGGACGACGCUGCGCCGACCGUCGCCACCGACAGCUCCCGCCUGGCGGCAUUCCUGGCCUCGACAUCGCUCGAGCCCAAGCCGCGAGCUCACACUCCAAAGCAGCUGGCACAGGGGGUGCCUUCCUUGUCCCCCACCGCCGUCGCGACCCGGAGAUGAAGAACAGAGGAGGAGAGGGGAAGAAAGGAUGGAAGAAGGGGAUGACAUGUGGGGCCGUAUGUCAAUGAGUGUAGAGGGAGGAUCGUAGCAUGGGUAUUUUGGUCUAUACAGUAAUAUUGAUGUCUGCACGUGGGUCCGAGGUCGUCGGAGACGUGGAAAAUGGAAAGCAUCAGGUAGACGAAGAAUUGUAAUGGCAUAUCUCCAAAUAGGUGUGGCGGUAGGGUCAGGGUUGCAAGUGCUUGUGGCAUUCAUAAACGUUGGCACCUACUACUUGGUGGGAAUUCCAUUGGGGGUCCUGUUUGGCUUCAAGCUAAAACUCGGUACAAUGGGGAUAUGGAUGGGCAUGUUGACAGGGAC